rnacentral:rRNA from 1 species
UACGUAGGGGGCAAGCGUUAUCCGGAUUUAUUGGGCGUAAAGCGAGCGCAGGUGGUUUAUUAAGUCUGGUGUAAAAGGCAGUGGCUCAACCAUUGUAUGCAUUGGAAACUGGUAGACUUGAGUGCAGGAGAGGAGAGUGGAAUUCCAUGUGUAGCGGUGAAAUGCGUAGAUAUAUGGAGGAACACCAGUGGCGAAAGCGGCUCUCUGGUCUGUAACUGACGCUGAGGUUCGAAAGCGUGGGUAGCAAACAGG